GCAGUCGAGCGGACUGAUGGGAGCUUGCUCCCUGAUGUUAGCGGCGGACGGGUGAGUAACACGUGGGCAACCUGCCUGUAAGACUGGGAUAACUCCGGGAAACCGGGGCUAAUACCGGAUAACCCGUUCCACCUCAUGGUGGAGCGGUAAAAGAUGGCCUCUGGCUAUCACUUACAGAUGGGCCCGCGGCGCAUUAGCUAGUUGGUAAGGUAACGGCUUACCAAGGCGACGAUGCGUAGCCGACCUGAGAGGGUGAUCGGCCACACUGGGACUGAGACACGGCCCAGACUCCUACGGGAGGCAGCAGUAGGGAAUCUUCCGCAAUGGACGAAAGUCUGACGGAGCAACGCCGCGUGAGUGAUGAAGGUUUUCGGAUCGUAAAGCUCUGUUGUUAGGGAAGAACAAGUGCCGUUUGAAUAAGGCGGCACCUUGACGGUACCUAACCAGAAAGCCACGGCUAACUACGUGCCAGCAGCCGCGGUAAUACGUAGGUGGCAAGCGUUGUCCGGAAUUAUUGGGCGUAAAGCGCGCGCAGGCGGUCUCUUAAGUCUGAUGUGAAAGCCCACGGCUCAACCGUGGAGGGUCAUUGGAAACUGGGAGACUUGAGUACAGAAGAGGAGAGUGGAAUUCCACGUGUAGCGGUGAAAUGCGUAGAUAUGUGGAGGAACACCAGUGGCGAAGGCGACUCUCUGGUCUGUAACUGA
rnacentral:rRNA from 1 species